UACGAAGGGUGCUAGCGUUGUUCGGAAUUACUGGGCGUAAAGCGCGCGUAGGCGGCUAUUCAAGUCAGAGGUGAAAUCCCUGGGCUCAACCCAGGAAUUGCCUUUGAAACUGUAUAGCUUGAGUGUCGGAGGGGAUAGCGGAAUUCCUAAUGUAGAGGUGAAAUUCGUAGAUAUUAGGAGGAACACCGGUGGCGAAGGCGGCUAUCUGGACGACAACUGACGCUGAGGCGCGAAAGUACGGGGAUCAAACAGG
rnacentral:rRNA from 1 species